CCUUAUCCAACCAGGACUAAGCCUGGGGUUCAUCAUUAUUCAUUUUCAGACCUAACAGGGUGCUCUGCCCUUUGCUUGGGAGGCGCUUUCAAAUUCCAUUAUGCAGGGGCAGCCGACCAUGAAGCGGGCCGUGGCGGAGGUUGGAAAUUCGAAGUCCCACCUGAGUUGCCGGGGGCUCAGUGUUUCCCAUUUCCCGUCUACUGUGUUUCUUCUCUCACUUCUUCGGAAAUUGGGUAUUAAUCUUGGUGCUGCAGGUUCAGCUACACACGUACACCCAUACACAGAAACAGAACACUGUUUUCUGUCCCCAUCAGAGAACGUCCACGUCGGUGACCUCUGGCCAGCUGAGGCAACGCCUGAGUUCGGACCUCCUUCGUGCGCACCUGGAGGGGGUCUGAAGCAUCCGGAGCAGAUGCCGUCACUGAAUGCUGCGUUUUGCGGAACUCCAUCAUGGACACGUGUUGCUCUGACAAUGCCCGGGCUCGCUCUACUUUCAUGUGCCAGAUACCCAAAGGAGAAUCUGGCUCCAGCCAAGUGUGAGAAUGAUCAGCCAUGGAACACGCCUGGCGGCUGUGAGUUGGAGAAGUGCCCCCAGCUGAGGUCUGGGUGGGCGGGGGUGGCCUCGGGGCUGGACAGGCAUAGGGUGGGACCAGAAAACAGGAGCAAAGAAGCCAACUGGGGGGUGCCUGGUCCAGAGUAGCACAUCUCAAACCGUUUUGUCUAAGGACCUCUUUACAUCAAAAAUUAUAGAGAAAUCCAAAGAGACAUAAAGAGACAAAGAGAUAAGUGGUCUAUAUCUAUCAACAUUGACCUAUUAGAAAUUAAAGCCAAGGCUUUGUAAGACACAAGAACACAAGCAUGCAUGCCCUUAUUGUCAGCGUGAUGAUGCCAGCACACCUGGGGCAGCCACCAGAAGACCCCACUGCAUGCUUCUGAGGGGAAGAGGGAUGAAGGUCAAUAGCAUCUUAGUGUUGUUAUGAAAUUAGUUCUGACCUUGCAGAUCCUCUGAAAGGGCCCUGGAGUCCCGCUCAGUCCCUGACCACAUGGGGAAUGGCCGGCACGGUGGUUCAGGAUGUGAACUCCAGGGCAAGACUGCCUGAGUUUGGAACUUGGCAUCUGCCACUGCUGGCUCAGCAAGUUUCUCACCCUUCCCCCCCAGCACCUCCAUGUCCUCAUCUGAAAAUGGGGCAACGGUGGUGACUCCUUAUAGGGCUGUUGGGGGCACUAGGACACGGCCUGGUACCAGCAUAGGGUCAUGGUGCUUUGGCUCUGGUGAGGCACCAGUUGGGUGGGCUAGCUGGAGGCCCAAGGACUGGCCUUGGGAUCCAGACUCAACACUCGGCCUCCUGGCUCCCAGAGGGGAUCUAAUACUAGGUACCCCCACCCCCACCCC
rnacentral:lncRNA from 1 species